rnacentral:rRNA from 1 species
AGAGUUUGAUUAUGGCUCAGAUUGAACGCUGGCGGAAUGCUUUACACAUGCAAGUCGAACGGCAGCACGGGAGCUUGCUCCUGGUGGCGAGUGGCGAACGGGUGAGUAAUGCGUCGGAACGUACCGAGUAAUGGGGGAUAACGCAGCGAAAGCUGUGCUAAUACCGCAUACGCCCUGAGGGGGAAAGUGGGGGAUCGCAAGACCUCACGUUAUUCGAGCGGCCGACGUCUGAUUAGCUAGUUGGUGGGGUAAAGGCUCACCAAGGCGACGAUCAGUAGCGGGUCUGAGAGGAUGAUCCGUCACACUGGAACUGAGACACGGUCCAGACUCCUACGGGAGGCAGCAGUGGGGAAUUUUGGACAAUGGGGGCAACCCUGAUCCAGCCAUUCCGCGUGAGUGAAGAAGGCCUUCGGGUUGUAAAGCUCUUUCAGCCGGAACGAAACGGUACGCACUAAUAUUGUGUGCUAAUGACGGUACCGGCAGAAGAAGCACCGGCUAACUACGUGCCAGCAGCCGCGGUAAUACGUAGGGUGCGAGCGUUAAUCGGAAUUACUGGGCGUAAAGCGUGCGCAGGCGGAUUGUUAAGCAAGAUGUGAAAUCCCCGGGCUUAACCUGGGAAUGGCAUUUUGAACUGGCAGUCUAGAGUGUGUCAGAGGGGGGUGGAAUUCCACGUGUAGCAGUGAAAUGCGUAGAUAUGUGGAGGAACACCAAUGGCGAAGGCAGCCCCCUGGGAUAACACUGACGCUCAUGUACGAAAGCGUGGGUAGCAAACAGGAUUAGAUACCCUGGUAGUCCACGCCCUAAACGAUGCGAACUAGGUGUUGGGGAAAGGAGACUUUCUUAGUACCGCAGCUAACGCGUGAAGUUCGCCGCCUGGGGAGUACGGUCGCAAGAUUAAAACUCAAA